rnacentral:rRNA from 1 species
UACGAAGGGGGCUAGCGUUGUUCGGAAUCACUGGGCGUAAAGCGCACGUAGGCGGAUCGUUAAGUCGGGGGUGAAAUCCCAGGGCUCAACCCUGGAACUGCCUUCGAUACUGGCGAUCUUCGAGUCCGGGAGAGGUGAGUGGAACUCCGAGUGUAGAGGUGAAAUUCGUAGAUAUUCGGAAGAACACCAGUGGCGAAGGCGGCUCACUGGCCCGGUGCUGACGCUGAGGUGCGAAAGCGUGGGGAGCAAACAGG